rnacentral:rRNA from 1 species
UGAYCUCAAAUCAGGUAGGACUACCCGCUGAACUUAAGCAUAUCAAUAAGCGGAGGAAAAGAAACUAACAAGGAUUCCCCUAGUAACUGCGAGUGAAGAGGGAAAAGCUCAAAUUUAAAAUCUGGCAGUCUUUGAUUGUCCGAAUUGUAAUUUA